AGCGAACGCUAGCGGCGUGCCUAACACAUGCAAGUCUUGCGAGAAAUCCCGGUUCGCCGGGAGAGUAAAGCGGCGUACGGGUGAGUAACGCGUGGGUAAUCUACCCUAAAGUCUGGAAUAACCCGCCGAAAGGCGGGCUAAUGCCGGAUAAGACCACAGCACACAUGUUCUGCGGUUAAAGGUGGGGAUCCUUCGGGACCUAGUGCUUGAGGAUGAACCCGCGUCCCAUCAGCUUGUUGGUGAGGUAAUGGCUCACCAAGGCAAAGACGGGUAGCUGGUCUGAGAGGACGAUCAGCCACACUGGCAUUGAGAUACGGGCCAGACUCCUACGGGAGGCAGCAGUGGGGAAUAUUGCGCAAUGGGCGAAAGCCUGACGCAGCGACGCCGCGUGAGGGAAGAAGGCCUUCGGGUUGUAAACCUCUGUCAGGGGGGAAGAAAUUCCUGUUAGUUAAUAUCUAACAGGAUUGACGUACCCCCAGAGAAGCAUCGCUAACU
rnacentral:rRNA from 1 species